GGACUACUGGGGUAUCUAAUCCCGUUUGCUCCCCUGGCUUUCGUCCAUGAGCGUCAGUGACUCCCCAGAAAGCUGCCUACGCCAUCGGUGUUCUUCCGGAUAUCUACGCAUUUCACCACUCCACCCGGAGUUCCGCUUUCCUCUGAAGCCCUCAAGUCUUCCAGUUUUCGGAGCACUUCCCCGGUUAAGCCGAGAACUGUCACCCCAAACUUGAAAGACCGCCUGCGGACGCUUUACGCCCAAUAAAUCCGGACAACGCUUGCCCCCUACGUAUUACCGCGGCUGCUGGCAC
rnacentral:rRNA from 1 species